rnacentral:rRNA from 1 species
AACGAACGCUGGCGGCAUGCCUAACACAUGCAAGUCGAACGAGACCUUCGGGUCUAGUGGCGCACGGGUGCGUAACGCGUGGGAACCUGCCCUUAGGUUCGGAAUAACUCCCCGAAAGGGGUGCUAAUACCGGAUAAUGUCUUCGGACCAAAGAUUUAUCGCCUUUGGAUGGGCCCGCGUUGGAUUAGCUAGUUGGUAGGGUAAAAGCCUACCAAGGCGACGAUCCAUAGCUGGUCUGAGAGGAUGAUCAGCCACACUGGGACUGAGACACGGCCCAGACAGCGACGGGAGGGAGCGGGGUGGAAUAUAGGACGAGGGGAGAAAGCCUGAGCCGGCACGGCGGCGUGAGGGAUGAAGGCAUUAGUGUUAAAAAGCGCUUUUAGCAGGAAGGAUAAGGAGAGGGAAGGGAGAAGAAGCGCCGACCAACUCACGCACAGCGGAGGAGAUAAUAAUAAGAAGAACACACUUCUAAC